AGAGUUUGAUCCUGGCUCAGAUUGAACGCUGGCGGCAUGCCUUACACAUGCAAGUCGAACGGUAACGCGGGGCAACCUGGCGACGAGUGGCGAACGGGUGAGUAAUGCAUCGGAACGUGCCCAGUAGUGGGGGAUAGCCCGGCGAAAGCCGGAUUAAUACGCAUACGACCUACGGGUGAAAGCGGGGGACUCGCAAGAGCCUCGCGCUAUUGGAGCGGCCGAUGUCAGAUUAGCUAGUUGGUGGGGUAAAAGCCUACCAAGGCGACGAUCUGUAGCUGGUCUGAGAGGACGACCAGCCACACUGGGACUGAGACACGGCCCAGACUCCUACGGGAGGCAGCAGUGGGGAAUUUUGGACAAUGGGCGCAAGCCUGAUCCAGCCAUGCCGCGUGCGGGAAGAAGGCCUUCGGGUUGUAAACCGCUUUUGUCAGGGAAGAAACGCUCUGGGCUAAUACCCCGGGGUAAUGACGGUACCUGAAGAAUAAGCACCGGCUAACUACGUGCCAGCAGCCGCGGUAAUACGUAGGGUGCAAGCGUUAAUCGGAAUUACUGGGCGUAAAGCGUGCGCAGGCGGUUAUGCAAGACAGAUGUGAAAUCCCCGGGCUCAACCUGGGAACUGCAUUUGUGACUGCAUAGCUAGAGUACGGUAGAGGGGGAUGGAAUUCCGCGUGUAGCAGUGAAAUGCGUAGAUAUGCGGAGGAACACCGAUGGCGAAGGCAAUCCCCUGGACCUGUACUGACGCUCAUGCACGAAAGCGUGGGGAGCAAACAGGAUUAGAUACCCUGGUAGUCCACGCCCUAAACGAUGUCAACUGGUUGUUGGACGGCUUGCUGUUCAGUAACGAAGCUAACGCGUGAAGUUGACCGCCUGGGGAGUACGGCCGCAAGGUUGAAACUCAUAGGAAUUGACGGGGACCCGCACAAGCGGUGGAUGAUGUGGUUUAAUUCGAUGCAACGCGAAAAACCUUACCUACCCUUGACAUGUCAAGAAUCUUGCAGAGAUGUGAGAGGGCUCGAAAGAGAACUUGAACACAGGUGCUGCAUGGCCGUCGUCAGCUCGUGUCGUGAGAUGUUGGGUUAAGUCCCGCAACGAGCGCAACCCUUGUCAUUAGUUGCUACGAAAGGGCACUCUAAUGAGACUGCCGGUGACAAACCGGAGGAAGGUGGGGAUGACGUCAGGUCCUCAUGGCCCUUAUGGGUAGGGCUACGCACGUCAUACAAUGGCCGGUACAGAGGGCUGCCAACCCGCGAGGGGGAGCUAAUCCCAGAAAACCGGUCGUAGUCCGGAUCGCAGUCUGCAAUUCGACUGCGUGAAGUCGGAAUCGCUAGUAAUCGCGGAUCAGCUUGCCGCGGUGAAUACGUUCCCGGGUCUUGUACACACCGCCCGUCACACCAUGGGAGCGGGUUCUGCCAGAAGUAGUUAGCCUAACCGCAAGGGGGGCGAUUACCACGGCAGGGUUCGUGACUGGGGUGAAGUCGUAACAAGGUA
rnacentral:rRNA from 1 species